UGUCAUCAGCCCAGAACUUUCUUAAUCUUUUCUGAGAGAAACUACGUCAGUUCCUUGGGCUUCUUUCAAGAAAGUAAAAUUAUUUCCACAGAGAAGAAACAAUCAUUUUCUAAGCAAUAAGGUUAUUGAACUACUUUGGCUGAGUAAAUAACUCUGUUUGCUUCAGGGCACAUUCAGAGAAAUUUCCAAUUCUUGUCAUGGAUUAUGACAUGUUUUCCCCUUGAUAAGACAACAGAAGUGUGUAUUGGACAUUUAAGCAGAUUUCAGUGUGGAAGUUCUCAACACGCUGAUUUUCCCAGGACUGCUUCUGGAUGGAUCAAGAAUCCUGCUGGAGCUUGAGAGUCCUGAAGAAGCUGCCUCUUCCUUGACCCCACUGCUACUCUGUACAUGGCUGGAUCUCUUGGAAAUUGCCAACCCUGGAGAGAAGUGUCUUUGACUUCUCUCCUGGCCUGGACAAACCACAGAGGAAACUUAAGGUUUUUGUUAGUCAUCCCUGCUGUCGCUGGCCUGUGACCUUGGAAGGACUAUUUGAGCAGCUUGAAUGGAGUGAUCAGCAGAAGAAAGAAGAAAUUUGAACACACAAAGGACAAGUGCAGAGACAGAGGGAUGACCAUGUGAGGACACGGCAAAGAAGCCAACAUAACACAGAGACUGAGACUCUGAGGAAUGUGAUAUGGAGAUGGAAAAAUGGGGUAAGCCUUGGGCUGCAUGGUAGCAAUUUCUCUAGCAGAUCCUAGCAGAAGAAUCCAUCUCACCCUUCUGAGAUCUAUGAAUCCAACUCCCAUCAGGCUAUCUCUGAGGACCUCCAUUUGAGAUUAUUGCACUAGAAUCAAAUGUGUGCAACAAGUUAGCUGGUUAGAAAGCCUGGUUAUGGUUUUAAUGACUGCUAUGCGGAGGUGCUGCCUUGUUAGUCUUUAUAGCAACACCAUGAGGUGAGCUGAUUUAAUACUACAUAUUAUAGAUGAGAACAAAAUGUACCUAACAAAGUUAAAUAACAUAUCUAAAUUCAAAUAAUUAAUAAAAGGCAAGGCUUGCAACUGAGACUUGUCUCUCCCUAAAGUGUGUCACUUGCAUAGACAUUCCUGAAUCUUCAAUAAAAGGGUUUAGGAAAAGCAUGUUUGCAUUGAGAAUUAGCUCAUCGGGGAUCCAGACUCAGAAAUGAUUUUUAAAAGUUUAUCAAGUUAAUGAAUUAAAAACUCUAUUCUGUUUUAAAAAAGAGAACGAAUUCAUAAAGGUAAAGAAAAUAUAUAUAACAUUAAAAUAUAGACAUAAGCUUAUCCACUUGAGAAAGAACUGCAUUAAUUUGUGAUUUAUCUGAAGAAAGGCUUAUGCAGUUGAAGUUUGGGGGCACAGCCUUAAGCUGCUCACUCCAGCAGUGCUUAUUUAGCAUAUCCAUUGAGUUCUCUCUUAUUUUUCCUAUGAAAAGCUCAAGGUGAAGUUCAAAGAUACUUUUCUCUUUUUUUAAACAAAAAAGAUGCCUCAAACAUUAUAAUGAAGUGGAAAAACCAAGAGAAUAGCAAACUAUGAAAUGUAGAAAAUGUCAAAGGGGUAAGAAGAGGUACUUCUGAUUGAGGGUGUUAAAUUUCAGUGAGAGUAUGUAUAAUCCAAUUUAUCUCUUUCAUAUAUACUCUAACAUCAUGCCUGUGCAUUAAUUGGGAAUUUUAAUUUCAAUUUGUGCUGUGCCCCUAUGCUAUCUUUGCUAAUAUUCCUUCCUUUUGCUUUUCCAUUUUCUCUUUCCCACCUUCUCUCUUUCUCCAGGGCCAACUAAAGUUACCUGUUGGAAGAGUAUGAGAUUGCCUUAAUGAUAUAUUUGAUUUUAAUAACUCCAAGGUGGCUGACCUCUUAACUUGGUGCCUGGGUCUAUAAAUUAAGGGUCAUAACUUCCAAGCCUUAUAAUUUCUUUCCUAGUGCUAUAGGCAAAGAAACACUCAUAUGCUGAGCAUCAUCUCAAAUUCUUGGACUGCUUAUCUAUGCUAGGAAGAAGUAGUCAAUUAUAACUAGGGAUGGUGCUCAUUUGCAAAGUCAGAACCCAAUUAUUUUCCUGAGAAGCUGGACAUUGAAGUGUUUGGGAUGAACUGAUUCCAUCUUGUUACCUCUAAGGAUCUUGCUGAUAUUUAUCAACUGCAUUUCACAGAUUUAUAUAAUGCUCAGCUUCUGUAUGAAGUACAGAAUGAUACAAAGCUUAAAAUCUCCUACUAUAAGGAGAAUAAGAGUGACAGCAAGAAAUUGAGAGAGGAGGAAUGAAAGGAAAGAAGGAAGGAAGGAAGGAAGGAAAGAAGGAAGGAAGGAAGGAAGGAAGGAAGGAAGGAAAAGAUACAGCGUAGGGCUGGUAGUGUGUAUUAGCAGAGGAGUGGAUAGCUAAACCAAAAUAAUCUGGUUUUAUUUUUUCAGGAGGCUUUUGAAUUCAUGUCUCAAAAUUUGUUUUCUCUGUUUUAUAAAAAUAUUCUGAAAUACCUCACUUAUGUAUCAUUAAUAAAAGUCUGACCCCAAUUGCUUAUAAAUUUGUAGGAAGUUUCUGCCUUGCUUUAUUUCUUGUCUAUUUUUGCUUUAAAGGGAGAUCCAAAGAACUCAGUGAAUGCCCCCUUUUUUUCUUUUCUGUGUUUUAAAAUUCAGCUUAUAUUAUUGACACAGUAAUGGUUUGCAAGCUGUUAGCAUUUGAAAAAAAUGUCAAAAUGCAAUCUUAAAUAAUAGCCAUAAAUGAUAGAAAAUCUCUUUCUAGUAACAUUUGUAACUACCCUAGGUGACACAAACUGUAGUGUUUUGCAUUUAUAUAUUUUGUUGUCCUGAUACCAUUUUCAUACUGUUCUACUGAAAUAUAAGCCAAAAAGUUAUUUUUGAAACAAGGUACAAGCUAUGAUGGAAAGAAAGGAGAGGAGAAGGACACAAGGAGAGAGAGAUGGAGAUAGAGGAAGAGAAAAGAAAGAGAAAGAAGGAAAGCACAAAAAGCAAGAACUCAAUUUGUAUCUAUGGUGUGUGUUUGCUAACCCAACCACCUUCUUAGAAAAUACACACCUUCCAUUUUUUUGCAAAGGCUGAAGUCUACAGAUAACUUUUCUGGGUCUCAACUGUGUAAUUAAAAAAAAGUAUAGGUCA
rnacentral:lncRNA from 1 species